GACGAACGCUGGCGGCGUGCUUAACACAUGCAAGUCGAACGGUGAAGCGCCUUCCUUUUUGGUGGGUGUGGAUGAGUGGCGAACGGGUGAGUAACACGUGAGUAACCUGCCCCCUUCUUCUGGAUAACCGCAUGAAAGUGUGGCUAAUACGGGAUAUUCUGGGUCUGUCGCAUGAUGGGUCUGGGAAAGAUAUUGUUUCGGUGGGGGAUGGGCUCGCGGCCUAUCAGCUUGUUGGUGGGGUGAUGGCCUACCAAGGCGGUGACGGGUAGCCGGCCUGAGAGGGUGGACGGCCCCACUGGGACUGAGACGCGGCCCAGACUCCUACGGGAGGCAGCAGGGGGGAAUAUUGCACAAUGGGAGCAAGCCUGAUGCAGCGACGCCGCGUGAGGGAUGGAGGCCUUCGGGUUGUGAACCUCUUUCGCCAGUGAAGCAGGCCUGCCUCGUUUGUGGGUGGGUUGACGGUAGCUGGAUAAGAAGCGCCGGCUAACUACGUG
rnacentral:rRNA from 1 species